CCAUGAGGUCUAUAUUUAUUUUAUAUUACUUUAUAUUCAUUGCAUCCAAACUUUGUGUUUAUCCAUGGUCCAUUUCUAUUUAUUUUUGUGAUAUUUCUAUUUAUCGAUAUAGACUAAAUGUUUAUCCAAACAUUUAGUGUUGAUGUUUUUAUUUAUUUCUAUAGAAUAGUGCAGGUUCCUGUUGCGGCCAAUCGCCUCGUCGCC
rnacentral:lncRNA from 1 species